GCUUGCUUCGGCAGGACAUGUUCUAACACUGGAACGAUACAGAAAAGGUUGGCAUGGCCUCUGCACAAGGAUGACAUGCAAAUUUGUGAAGCGUUCCAUAUUCAA